UCCGGUAUGGUGUAGUGGCUAACAUUUGACGCUCUCAUUGAUCCAGUGUCAUUCGAGGUUCCGUCAAGCCCAGGGUUCGAUUCCCUGUACCGGAG